rnacentral:rRNA from 1 species
GGCGGGCUCAAACAUGCAAGUCGCACGCGAAAGGUAGCAAUACCGAGUAGAGUGGCGCACGGGUGAGUAACACGUAAUUAACUUCCCCUCUCGCUGGGGAUAACUCCGGGAAACCGGAGCUAAUACCGAAUGACCUCUUUUAGUCUGCGGACUAGACGAGUAAAGCCUUACGGUGCGAGAGGAUAGGGUUGCGGCCUAUUAACUUGUUGGUGGGGUAAUGGCCUACCAAGGUUACGAUAGGUAGCUGGUCUGAGAGGACGAUCAGCCACACUGGAACUGACACACGGUCCAGACUCCCACGGGAGGCAGCAGUUGGGAAUUUUGGACAAUGGGCGCAAGCCUGAUCCAGCCACGCCGCGUGAAUGAUGAAGGCCUUCGGGUCGUAAAGUUCUUUUAGUUGGGAAAAACACAAUGAUGGUACCAACAGAAAAAGCACCGGCUAACUCCGUGCCAGCAGCCGCGGUAAUACAGAGGGUGCAAGCG